rnacentral:rRNA from 1 species
CCUACGGGGGGCAGCAGUGGGGAAUAUUGGACAAUGGGGGGAACCCUGAUCCAGCCAUGCCGCGUGUGUGAAGAAGGCCCUCGGGUUGUAAAGCACUUUCAGUGAGGAAGAACGCCUGGUGGUUAAUACCCAUCAGGAAAGACAUCACUCACAGAAGAAGCACCGGCUAACUCCGUGCCAGCAGCCGCGGUAAUACGGAGGGUGCGAGCGUUAAUCGGAAUUACUGGGCGUAAAGCGCGCGUAGGUGGCUUGAUAAGCCGGUUGUGAAAGCCCCGGGCUCAACCUGGGAACGGCAUCCGGAACUGUCAAGCUAGAGUGCAGGAGAGGAAGGUAGAAUUCCCGGUGUAGCGGUGAAAUGCGUAGAGAGCGGGAGGAAUACCAGUGGCGAAGGCGGCCUUCUGGACUGACACUGACACUGAGGUGCGAAAGCGUGGGUAGCAAACAGGAUUAGAUACCCCAGUAGUC